UGCCGCGUGUGUGAAGAAGGCCUUUUGGUUGUAAAGCACUUUAAGCGAGGAGGAGGCUACCGAGAUUAAUACUCUUGGAUAGUGGACGUUACUCGCAGAAUAAGCACCGGCUAACUCUGUGCCAGCAGCCGCGGUAAU
rnacentral:rRNA from 1 species